CGUUGAUUACGUCCCUGCCCUUUGUACACACCGCCCGUCGCUACUACCGAUUGAAUGGCUCAGUGAGGCGUCCGGACUGGCCCAGAGAGGUGGGCAACUACCCCUCAGGG
rnacentral:rRNA from 1 species